AACGAACGCUGGCGGCAGGCUUAACACAUGCAAGUCGAGCGCCCCGCAAGGGGAGCGGCAGACGGGUGAGUAACACGUGGUAACAUACCCAUCUCUGCGGAACAACUCCGGGAAACUGGAGCUAAUACCGCAUACGCCCUUCGGGGGCAAGAUUUAUCGGAGAUGGAUUGGCCCGCGUUGGAUUAGCUAGUUGGUGGGGUAAAGGGCUACCAAGGCGACGAUACAUAGCUGGUCUGAGAGGAUGAUCAGCCACAUUGGGACUGAGACACGGUCCAAACUCCUACGGGAGGCAGCAGUGGGGAAUAUUGGACAAUGGGCGCAAGCCUGAUCCAGCCAUGCCGCGUGAGUGAUGAAGGCCUUAGGGUUGUAAAGCUCUUUCACCGAUGAAGAUAAUGACGGUAGUCGGAGAAGAAGCCCCGGCUAACUUCGUGCCAGCCGCCGCGGUAA
rnacentral:rRNA from 1 species